GACGAACGCUGGCGGCGUGCUUAACACAUGCAAGUCGAGCGGUAAGGCCCUUUCGGGGGUACACGAGCGGCGAACGGGUGAGUAACACGUGGGUGACCUGCCUUUAGCUCUGGGAUAAGCCUGGGAAACUGGGUCUAAUACCGGAUACGACUCCGCGGUGCAUGCUGUGGGGUGGAAAGCCUUGUGCGGCUGGAGAUGGGCCCGCGGCCUAUCAGCUUGUUGGUGGGGUGAUGGCCUACCAAGGCGACGACGGGUAGCCGGCCUGAGAGGGCGACCGGCCACACUGGGACUGAGACACGGCCCAGACUCCUACGGGAGGCAGCAGUGGGGAAUCUUGCGCAAUGGGCGAAAGCCUGACGCAGCGACGCCGCGUGAGGGAUGACGGCCUCGGUUG
rnacentral:rRNA from 1 species